UGACUAUGGUAACUUGAGUAACAAUGAGAACCAUGUGCAUCCUCGCUGAACACUAUUCAUGGUCAGAAUCCAUGGCAAGUUUUAUGUUUGUAGCCUGCAAAGCACCAAGGCAUCUGAGAGGCAGAAAUAUCUAAAGGGAAACAGGAAGGAGGAGGAGGAGAUUUUCUACAAGAAGGGUGACUGCCCCUUUUCUCCAGGCCCUUUCUGUCUUCCUCUGGGGUCUGCUGCUUCUCUACACAACACUGGGACCCAGAGAAGAAUGGCUCCUCUGUUUGCCAGCCUGCCUGCAUAUUGCAUCCAUUGCUCCUGCCAGCCAGCCUUUCAGAAGUUGAUAGAGUCUCAAGAAAAGUUACCUGGUGAAGAAAUAAUCAAGAAGAUUCAUAAUGAGUCAUUCGUGCAACUCUGCACAAGAUUUUUUUUUUUUUUAAUCAUCGUGGAAAGUGUUGGAUGCAUCCUUCAUACAUUGUUUCUGGAUUUUUUGAAACAGAAUGUUCCGAAUGUGUCUGCCUUAAGGAGACUGAGGAUAUUAAUGCCUUAA
rnacentral:lncRNA from 1 species